rnacentral:rRNA from 1 species
AUUGAACGCUGGCGGCAUGCCUUACACAUGCAAGUCGAACGGCAGCACGGGUGCUCGCACCUGGUGGCGAGUGGCGAACGGGUGAGUAAUACAUCGGAACGUACCUUAUCGUGGGGGAUAACGCAGCGAAAGUUGCGCUAAUACCGCAUACGCCCUGAGGGGGAAAGCGGGGGACCGUAAGGCAUCGCGCGCUUAGAGCGGCCGAUGUCUGAGUAGCUUGUUGGUGAGGUAAAAGCUCACCAAGGCGAUGAUCAGUAGCUGGUCUGAGAGGACGAUCAGCCACACUGGGACUGAGACACGGCCCAGACUCCUACGGGUGGCAGCAGUGGGGAAUUUUGGACAAUGGGGGCAACCCUGAUCCAGCAAUGCCGCGUGAGUGAAGAAGGCCUUCGGGUUGUAAAGCUCUUUUGUCAGGGAAGAAACAGCAGCUCUAACACAGUCUGCGAAUGACGGUACCUGAAGAAUAAGCACCGGCUAACUACGUGCCAGCCGCCGCCGUAAAAC